AUGUUAAUAUUUUUAAAUAUAAAUGCGGUCAGAUCUUAUAUGCGAAGACAGAAACCUAUCGAACAGGAGAGGCCCCUGCGUCGUCCCAGGGCGACUCAGGCGGCAUCCACCAUGGUCGCCGCUAGCGCACCCCUCCCCAGCUCCCUCCCUUGUCGUCGCUGUGGGCCUGGGUCGCAGGGGCAAAGCCUCUCGCACUACACGGCGGCGGCGGGGCGGCUUCUUCCCUUCCUUUCCUCCCUCGUUGCCUUGGCUAUGGGCGCCUUGCCGGUCCGCUCCGCGGCGACGCUGGUGUUGCCUGGUCUUUGGCUGGCCGGAGGAUGA
rnacentral:rRNA from 1 species